AGAGCGCGUGCCCCGAACCGCGCGGUGCAUCCAGCAGCCAAAUUCAAGAAGGAAGAAGAUUUUGCCGGGCCGUACGGACGUUACAUCAUGGAAGAUGACGAAACGCCUGACUGGGUACCACACGGCAUGCCUGAUUGGCGGAGAGUGGGACCAAUACGAGGUGUACUGCCCGGAGAUGAUGAGAUGUACCACCUGAUCAUCGGACUUGGCCAAGUACCAGCGCAGCAGUACAUCGUGGUCGCGCCGAACGUCGCCAGCGCAUCU
rnacentral:lncRNA from 1 species